UGGGGAAUAUUGCACAAUGGAGGAAACUCUGAUGCAGCGACGCCGCGUGAAGGAAGAAGUAUCUCGGUAUGUAAACUUCUAUCAGCAGGGAAGAAAAUGACGGUACCUGACUAAGAAGCCCCGGCUAACUACGUGCCAGCAGCCGCGGUAAUACGUAGGGGGCGAGCGUUAUCCGGAUUUACUGGGUGUAAAGGGAGCGUAGACGGACGGGCAAGUCUGAUGUGAAAGCCCGGGGCUUAACCCCGGGACUGCAUUGGAAACUGUCCAUCUUGAGUGCCGAAGAGGUAAGCGGAAUUCCUAGUGUAGCGGUGAAAUGCGUAGAUAUUAGGAGGAACACCAGUGGCGAAGGCGGCUUACUGGACGGUAACUGACGUUGAGGCUCGAAAGCGUGGGGAGCAAACAG
rnacentral:rRNA from 1 species